UCUUCUUGUUUCCGCGAAAUGCAAGGAUAUAAGAACUGAUCAAAAGCUUCCCAUGCUUGAAUUAACUGCUUUUCCUUGCCAAUUCGAAGCCAUUUUUGCAAUUUCCAGCAGCCUUCUGGCAAGAUGUGUCUGUACAUAAGUGCAUCCAUAACAUCGUUGAACGCCUUUUCACAUGGCACAUGAGGUAAGCCAAUAGACAAACUUUUCGGAUCAUGAUCAAGUAACAAUUUGCUGAUAGCAUCAAAAGUGAAUCUCUGGAAAAUAUCUUGCAAAUCAAACAGGGUGUCCUGUUCAGCAAAAGCAUCAAGAAUCGGUCGGAGCCUGUUUUCGAUAAUGUUCCACAUGUUCCUCUCCAACAAA